GACGGUCGACUUGCAGAAAGAGAUAUUGUGCAGUUUGUUCCGCUUCGCGACAUGGGAAAUAAAACGAACCUGAGGCGAACCAUGCUUGCAGAGCUGCCAAUGCAACUACUAGAAUUUAUGAGGUCACGCAGUAUCGUUCCAAACUUGAACCUGAGGUAGCUAUUGAUUUUUGGGUAUGAUUCUUUUAUCAUCUUUUAAAAUCUUUUAAUGGCCUUCUAAUAUUUACCAACAAAAGUUGAUUUUACUAAUGUAUAUAUGUGUUGUUUUUAAA